CCUUGGCAUCAGAAAGCGAUGAAGGACGUGGCAAGCUGCGAUAAGCUUCGGGGAGUGGCACACACACUGCGAUCCGGAGAUUUCCGAAUGGGGAAACCCGCCGGUUGAGCCGGCAGUUCAAGGUGAAUACAUAGACCUUGUAAUGGCAAACGAAGGGAAGUGAAACAUCUCAGUACCUUCAGGAACAGAAAUCAAAUAGAGAUUCCCUGAGUAGUGGCGAGCGAAAAGGGAAGAGCCUAAACCUUUUGUAUGUUAAAGGGUCCGGCCCUUGUACAGAAGGUGUCAUGGGACUUUAAAGAAGCGACCGGACUCGCUUCACGAAGUUACAAAGUCAAAAUUUAGCAGAAGAGUCUGAAAAGUCUCUCCAAAGAAGGUGAUAGACCUGUAAGCGAAAAGUUUUGACCUUCGAUAAAGUUUCCCAAGUACCACCGGGCACGUGGAAUCCGCUGGGAAUUUAGGGGGACCACCCUCUAAGGCUAAAUAUGUUCUGAUGACCGAUAGUGAACCAGUACCGUGAGGGAAAGGUGAAAAGAACCCCGGAAGGGGAGUGAAAUAGAACCUGAAACCGUGAACUUACAAACAGUGGGAGCGCUAUUGCAUGACAAGCGUGACCACGUACCUUUUGCAUAAUGAGCCAGUGAGUUAUGGUCACGAGCAAGGUUAAGCUGUGAAGCGAAGCCGUAGCGAAAGCGAGUCUUAAAUGGGCGUUUUUUUAGUUCGUGGCUAUAGACCCGAAACCCGGUGAGCUAUUUAUGGCCAGGGUGAAGUGCAGUUAACCCUGCAUGGAGGCCCGAACCAUUGGAAGAUGCAAUUUCCUUGGAUGAGCUGUGAAUAGGAGUGAAAGGCUAAUCAAACUGGGUGAUAGCUGGUUCUCCCCGAAAUAUAUUUAGGUAUAGCCUCGAAUAUCUAUCCUGGAGGUAGAGCACUGAAUGGGCUAGGGGUCCUUACCGGAUUACCAAACCCAAACAAACUCCGAAUGCCGGUGAUAGUGAGUUCGGGAGACAGUCAUGGGGUGAUAAGGUCCUGUGACGAGAGGGAAAGAGCCCGGACCCUCGGCUAAGGUCCCUAAAUCCAUUGCUUAGUGUUAAACGUUGUGGAAUUACUCAGACAGCCAGGAGGUUGGCUUAGAAGCAGCAAUCCUUUAAAGAAAGCGUAAUAGCUCACUGGUUCAGUGAUUUUGCGCGGAAGAUUUAACGGGGCUUAAGCAUGGUACCGAAGCCAGGGACUGUUGUUCGCAACAGUGGUAGGGGAGCGUUGUCGUUAAGGAUGAAGCUUGACCGCGAGGACAGGUGGACAGACGACAAGUGAUUCUGCUGGCAUAAGUAGCGUAUUAACAGAGGUGAGAAACCUCUGCGCCGAAAACUCAAGGGUUCCUGGGCCAGGAUCAUCCUCCCAGGGUUAGUCGGGACCUAAGGCGAGGCCAAGUGGCGUAGUCGAUGGACAAAGGGUUAAUAUUCCCUUACCGGCUUUGAUGUUCAAGCAUAGGAGUGACGGACUCAGUUAUCCCGGCCUGUUAUUGGAUUCAGGUGUAAGCGUGCAAGAGGGGGUGUAGGUAAAUCCGCAUCUCAACUCUCAGGCGUAAAUGCGAGAGGAUCUGAUCCUCGAAGCGGGAGACACUAUGGUUCCCAGAAAAACUUCGAUGUAUUGUCAAAGUUGCCCGUACCGUAAACCGACUCAGGUGAGUAGGAUGAGUAUUCUAAGGCGAUUGGGUUAACUCCAGUUAAGGAACUCGCCAAAUUGGCACCGUAACUUCGGGAGAAGGUGUGCCCUCUCAGGUGAAACCCCUUGCGGGUGGAGCUAGGGGGAGGGUCGCAGUGACCAGGGAGUAGCGACUGUUUACCAAAAACACAGGGCUAUGCUAAAUCACAAGAUGAUGUAUAUAGCCUGACGCCUGCCCGGUGCCGGAAGGUUAAGAGGAUUUGUCAGCCGCAAGGCGAAGCGGAAAAUCGAAGCCCCGGUAAACGGCGGCCGUAACUAUAACGGUCCUAAGGUAGCGAAACUCCUUGUCGGGUAAGUUCCGACCUGCAUGAAUGGCGUAACGACUUCUUCAGUGUCUCAACUGGACCCCCAGUGAAAUUGAACUCUCAGUGAAAAUGCUGAGUACCCGCGGAAAGACGAGAAGACCCUGUGAACCUUUACUCUAGCUUGGCAAUGACUUUAGAGUGGUUAUGUGUAGGAUAGGUGGGAGGCUUUGAAGCUUGGACGCUAGCCCAGGUGGAGCCAACCUUGAAAUACCACCCUUAGUUAUUUUGAAGUCUAACCUGCACCCCUGAACCGGGGUGAGGGACAUUGUCAGGUGGGGAGUUUGACUGGGGCGGUCGCCUCCUAAAAGGUAACGGAGGCGUACGAAGGUUCCCUCAGCCUGAUUGGAAACCAGGCGCUGAGAACAUUGGCAUAAGGGAGCUUGACUGCGAGACUUACAGGUCGAGCAGGUGCGAAAGCAGGUCAAAGUGAUCCGGUGGUUCCGAGUGGAAGGGCCAUCGCUUAACGGAUAAAAGGUACUCCGGGGAUAACAGGCUGAUACCCCCCAAGAGUUCACAUCGACGGGGGUGUUUGGCACCUCGAUGUCGGCUCAUCUCAUCCUGGGGCUGGAGCAGGUCCCAAGGGUUUGGCUGUUCGCCAAUUAAAGAGGUACGCGAGCUGGGUUCAGAACGUCGUGAGACAGUUUGGUCGUUAUCUUCCGUGGGCGUAGGAAAAUUGAGAGGAGCUGUCCUUAGUACGAGAGGACCGGGAUGGACGAAUCUCUGGUGCACCUGUUGUCACGCCAGUGGCAUAGCAGGGUAGCUAUAUUCGGAACGGAUAACCGCUGAAAGCAUCUAAGCGGGAAGCCGACCUCAAGAUAAGUUUUCCCUGAUCCGUAAGGAUCCUGAAGACCCCUUCGAGACCAGGAGGUUGAUAGGCGGUAAGUAUAAGCACAGCAAUGUGUUCAGCUGAUCCGUACUAAUAGGUCGUGAGGCUUUUUUAA
rnacentral:rRNA from 1 species